rnacentral:rRNA from 1 species
UACGUAGGGUGCAAGCGUGUCCGGAAUUAUUGGGCGUAAAGAGCUCGUAGGCGGUUUGUCGCGUCUGCUGUGAAAACCCGAGGCUCAACCUCGGGCCUGCAGUGGGUACGGGCAGACUAGAGUGCGGUAGGGGGAGAUUGGAAUUCCUGGUGUAGCAGGUGGAAUGCGCAGAUAUCAGGAGGAACACCAAUGGCGAAGGCAGAUCUCUGGGCCGUAACUGACGCUGAGGAGCGAAAGCAUGGGGAGCGAACAGG